rnacentral:rRNA from 1 species
UACGGAGGAGGCAAGCGUUAUCCGGAAUUAUUGGGCGUAAAGCGUCCGUAGAUGGUCGCUUCAAGUCUGCUGUCAAAGACCGGGGCUUAACCCCAGAAAAGCAGUGGAAACUGAACAGCUAGAGGGGUAGGGGUAGAGGGAAUUCCCAGUGUAGCGGUGAAAUGCGUAGAGAUUGGGAAGAACAUCAGUGGCGAAAGCGCUCUACUGGACCUUAUCUGACAUUGAGGGACGAAAGCUAGGGGAGCGAAUGGG